CUGAACAAUAAAUAACAUAAGAAAUUAAUGUCCUCAUUACCUCCCCAGGUGUGGACGUGGAUUUUUUUCCACCACACGUACAGGAAGAGAAGAGCAGACAGGGAGCACUGGGAAGUGGUGUUCGCCCAGGCAGAUCCUCUGAAGGAGAAAAAGCUAUUGUCACCCGACCCAGAGGGAGACCCCAGGUGACGAGAGUUCUUUUGGCCAAGAGUGAACCCACCGCAGAAUCAGAAACUCCAAGCUGGGAGAGCCUGAAUCUACACGUGGACAGUGGCCACAGUGCUCAGACUAUAUACAAAAAUAGAACUCGGACCCACAAUCUACAGCAACCUGCCUAGAAAGCCAACCCCUUAUCUACAAUAAACAACCCAGAAGCCAGCCUAUGUCAGACUCGUGAGAGGCAGAUCCCUAUCUCUAGGGAUAAUCCAAGAAGCUAAAUAAUCACUUCUGCAAUAAUUGACCUAAAAUGUCCAAGCCGCCAUCAGUAACUGACAGCUUCCCUAAUUUUUGUCCCUGUUUCCAACUCAGGACCAGCCAGAGAAAGGCAGACAUGGCCCCUGACCAAGCACACAGGACACCCCACUUCCGGUCAGCCGGCCUCCAGCCCCCCCAGGCCAGCAGCCUCCAGCAGGGCAGCCCUGAGCCUCCCCUCUGUCCCGCCGUGAAUCCUUCCUUCUCCUCAACCCGCCUUGGAGUCUCUGCCAGAUUCCAGGGCUAGUGGCUGACACACACACACACCCCCGACACACACACACACAGCUGGGCAUGAAGAGCCUCUGCUGGUCCCCUUUGGUUGGUCUGCAUUUACGUUCACACCUUCUAGUUCCUUCCUCCACACCAGCCAAACUCAGUUGGAAGCCAGAGGGCAAGGGUCACAGUGACAGGUGCAUAGAGGCAUCACAUGGGAGGGUCAUACACUGGGUCAGACACAGAGGGAGCUGUAAACGUUGACGUCACAAAUGGGAGACCCAGGAGAAAUGUCACAUUAGGACGGGGUCAGGGACAACGGGUCACACCUGUGACAUAUGGAAGUCACCCACGGGGUCACGCAGGAGCCUCCGGAGGAGCCCUCAUCUGCUCCACCUGUCCCCACACAAGCCACCGCCAGGGGCCUCCCAUCCCAGAGCCUAGACACAGAUGUCAGAAGUUUUGUUCUAGAAACGUCUUCUCUGCUGUGCCCCUCAGGUGCCCGGGUCCCUUAGUCCCUGAGGCUUUUUACUGUCUGCACUUCCCACAUGCCCAACACCCUGUAAUUAAAAACUGUCCACACCCAAGUGUCCUUGGGAAGGUCUUCCUGUGUCCUACAGCAUCCACCUGUGUGAAUAACUUUUUUUGGAUGAGAUAGUAUAUUCACUUUGUGGCAAAAAAAUCAAAACAUCAUAAAAAUGCAUGUGAAGCAUUUGGUUCCCACCUUUGCCCUCUCUGACCUUAUUCCUUCUAACUAGUUGUUAGUGUCUUUUAUAAAAACUCUCAGAUUCUGUACAUUACUUCCGUAUUUCACCAUCUAACUGAUGUCUUUUGCUUUCAGUAAUUUUUCAGCCAUUUUAGGUCCUUGAGUUAUGAAAUCAUCUUCUGUAAAUAAUGACAGUAGUUUUAUCUGCUCCUUUGCAAUGUUUAUACUUUUUUUUUUCAUUGUCUAAGUGUAUGCUUGCUUUUGUCUUUGACCUAGGAAGUAACUUAGAACUGUUUUCUUUUUUUUUUUU